WSMRKKCGCCCUUAGAGUUUGAUCCUGGCUCAGAACGAACGCUGGCGGCGUGCUUAACACAUGCAAGUCGAACGUGAUCCAGAGCUUGCUCUGGUGAAAGUGGCGCACGGGUGAGUAACGCGUGGAUAACCUGCCCUGGUAUCUGGGAUAACAUCUCGAAAGGGGUGCUAAUACCGGAUAAGCCUACGGACUCCUCGGAGUCUGCAGGAAAAGGAGGCCUCUAUUUAUAAGCUUCCGUAUCAUGAUGGGUCCGCGUACCAUUAGCUAGUUGGUGGGGUAAUGGCCUACCAAGGCGACGAUGGUUAGCUGGUCUGAGAGGAUGAUCAGCCACACUGGAACUGAGACACGGUCCARACUCCUACGGGAGGCAGCAGUGGGGAAUUUUGCGCAAUGGGGGAAACCCUGACGCAGCAACGCCGCGUGAGUGAUGAAGGCUUUCGGGUCGUAAAGCUCUGUCAGAGGGGAAGAAAUGAAACGUGCUAAUAUCACGUUUUCUUGACGGUACCCUCAAAGGAAGCACCGGCUAACUCCGUGCCAGCAGCCGCGGUAAUACAAGGGCGAAUUCCAK
rnacentral:rRNA from 1 species